rnacentral:misc_RNA from 1 species
CUGCUUGCUGGCGGCGCUGCUCUGGGAAACCAAAGCUGCGCCAGGCAUGCUACCCUUGUCUAUACAUACCCUUUUGUUAUUUCCCUCGGCGGGGCAACCUGCCGCUGGGGACAAUUAAACCCUUUGUAUCAAGUAUCAAAUCAUCUGAAACAAAAUUAAAUAAUUA